AUUGAACGCUGGCGGCAGGCCUAACACAUGCAAGUCGAGCGGAUGAAGGGAGCUUGCUCCUGGAUUCAGCGGCGGACGGGUGAGUAAUGCCUAGGAAUCUGCCUGGUAGUGGGGGAUAACGUCCGGAAACGGGCGCUAAUACCGCAUACGUCCUGAGGGAGAAAGUGGGGGAUCUUCGGACCUCACGCUAUCAGAUGAGCCUAGGUCGGAUUAGCUAGUUGGUGGGGUAAAGGCCUACCAAGGCGACGAUCCGUAACUGGUCUGAGAGGAUGAUCAGUCACACUGGAACUGAGACACGGUCCAGACUCGUACGGGAGGCAGCAGUGGGGAAUAUUGGACAAUGGGCGAAAGCCUGAUCCAGCCAUGCCGCGUGUGUGAAGAAGGUCUUCGGAUUGUAAAGCACUUUAAGUUGGGAGGAAGGGCAGUAAGUUAAUACCUUGCUGUUUUGACGUUACCAACAGAAUAAGCACCGGCUAACUUCGUG
rnacentral:rRNA from 1 species